CGUGAACGCUGGCGGUAGGCCUAACACAUGCAAGUCGAACGGCAGCACAGUAAGAGCUUGCUCUUACGGGUGGCGAGUGGCGGACGGGUGAGGAAUACAUCGGAAUCUACUUUUUCGUGGGGGAUAACGUAGGGAAACUUACGCUAAUACCGCAUACGACCUACGGGUGAAAGCAGGGGAUCUUCGGACCUUGCGCGAUUGAAUGAGCCGAUGUCGGAUUAGCUAGUUGGCGGGGUAAAGGCCCACCAAGGCGACGAUCCGUAGCUGGUCUGAGAGGAUGAUCAGCCACACUGGAACUGAGACACGGUCCAGACUCCUACGGGAGGCAGCAGUGGGGAAUAUUGGACAAUGGGCGCAAGCCUGAUCCAGCCAUACCGCGUGGGUGAAGAAGGCCUUCGGGUUGUAAAGCCCUUUUGUUGGGAAAGAAAAGCAGCAGGUUAAUACCCCGCUGUUCUGACGGUACCCAAAGAAUAAGCACCGGCUAACUUCGUG
rnacentral:rRNA from 1 species